rnacentral:hammerhead_ribozyme from 1 species
UUUAAGCUGACGAGUCUUAAAUGGGACGAAACGUGCGUCCUAGAC